AAACAAAAGAUGAAAAAUAACUAAAUAAAUAAAUAAAUAACGCAAAAAACUAAACACAAAUUUCAUCUCCCCUUCGUUUCGUCUCGUCUCUCUUUUCGACUCUCGAAACCCUAGCGAUAUCUGAUCCCUUCUCGGUUGAGAAGAAUGGCGCUUUUACGGCGGUUCUUCAACCGGAAACCCCCUGAUCGGUUGCUGGAGAUCACAGAGAGAGUUUACGUGUUCGAUUGUUGUUUCUCGAAAUAUACACUGAAAGAAGAUGAGUAUGAGGAUUACAUGGAUGGCAUUGUCAUCCAACUGCAGAAUCAUCUACCUGAUGCCUCAUUCAUGGUGUUUAACUUUUUGGAGGGAGAUCAUCAGAGCAAAAUCUCGUUCAUUUUUGCCAAAUACAAUAUUACAGUCAUGGACUAUCCUUGGCAGCACGAAGCAUGGCCUCUGCUUCCGAUGGAGAUGAUUUACCAUUGCUUGAGGUCGAGUGAGAGCUGGCUUUCUUUGCAAGGGCAACACAAUGUGCUGCUAAUGCAUUGCGAAAGAGGAGGAUGGCCAAUUCUUGCUUUUAUGCUUGCGGGUCUUCUUCUCUAUAGGAAACAGUUAAGUGGGGAGCAGAACACUCUGGAGAUGAUAUAUAAGCAAGCUCCUAACGAGCUGCUGCAUGUCGCGUCUCCAUUGAAUCCACAGCCUUCCCAUUUGAGAUAUCUUCAGUAUAUAACUAGACAUGAUAGUGCAUUGGACUGGCUUCCAGGAGGUAAGCAGUUCAGGCUGGACUGCUUGAUUCUUAGAAUUGUUCCCCCUUUUGAUGGGGAAGGGGGAUGCUGGCCUGUCGUUCGUGUAUAUGGUCAAGACCCGGUGACUACUGCUGACAGAACCUCAAAGAUUCUUUUCUCCACGCCAAAGACUAAGAAGCACAUCAGGUGCUAUAGACAGGAAGAGAGUGCAACUGUUAAGGUAAACACCCAUUGCCAAAUUCAAGGGGAUGUUGUCAUUGAAUGUAUCCAUAUGGACGAUACUCUUGAACGAGAGGAUAUAAUGUUCAGGGUCAUGUUCAAUACUGCAUUUGUGCAAUCCAAUGUUCUGGUGCUGAACCUUGAUGACAUUGAUGUUGUAUGGAGUGCUAAGGAUCAGUUACCAAAGGACUUCAAAGUGGAGGUAGUCUUUUCAGACAAAAAUGCUAUUGAUUAUGAUACCACCAUGGACGUGGUAAUUGGAGAUGAAUGCAAGGCUGAAGAUUCUUCUGUAACAGAAGAGUUUUUUGAGGCAGCAGAAGUCUUUAGUAAUGCAGAUUCACAGAGCGAUGCAGACAUCUAUUCACCUGUCGGAUCUGCCUGCCUACGUCCUUCGUCACCGGUGGUGGAUCCUGCUCAACCUCCAUCUCCCAUGAACCAAGAAAAAUCCACCGAAAGCAACCUUGACCCUACCCCUAUUCCUCCAUUACAACAUCAAGGAAAUUUUUAUCAAGGCCCUUCAUCGCCGUCUCCACCACCAGUUUCUUCUGGGUUAGACACUAGUGGAUCAAAUCCUCUUCCAUCACCCUCUACACAACCUCCUGCUCCUUCUCCACCCCCUGAAGUAACUUCAAUAGUUCAAUCACCAUCACCACCUCCUCCUCAUCCUUCAUCAGGAGCACAUGAAAGUGUUCUAACCCCAUCUCCACCCCCAUCAUCUCCAUCUCCAGGAGGCCAAAGUGGGUCUCCAACAUUGUCAUCACCACCGCCACCGCCAAUACCAGUAGGAGGCCAAUGCGUGACUCCCCCUCCACCACCACCUCCAUCCCUGAGAGAUCGUGCUGGACCUCCCAUCCCACCACCUCACCUUGGUCCACGUGCACCUACUCCACCUGCACUACCUAAGGCUGGAGGGCCUCCUCUGCCUCCUCCCUUGGCUGGGGGUGGAGGCCGUGGUCUUGCACAUCCGACAGGCCCUACUUUCUCUGCACCACCUCGUAAGCUCUCAGUGAAACUGUUACACUGGGUGAAAGUAGCAAGACCUGCACAGGGAAGCUUAUGGGCAGAACUCCAAAAUUUUAAUGAUCCUCCCAGUGCUUCAUAUUAUGAUGUAUCAGAGCUUGAAAGUCUCUUCCCUGCAAAUGUUCCAAAACCAGUUGGUAAUUCAAGUUUGAAAGGGAAAUCCAAUGGUUCAAAACCUGAAAAAGUUCGCCUGAUUGAUCUAAAGAGGGCCUAUAACAUUGAAAUUAUGCUGGCGAAUGUCAAGAUUCCACUUCCUGAUAUGAUGAGUGCUGUUUUAGCAUUGGAUGAUUCUAUCUUGGAUGUUGAUCAAGUGGAAAAUCUUAUAAAGUUUUGUCCAACCAAAGAGGAAAUGGAUCUUCUCAAGGGAUACCCUGGUGAUAAGAAAAUCCUUGGAAACUGUGAGCUGUUCUUUCUGGAGUUGAUGAAAGUUCCUCAAGUUGAGUCCAAGUUGAGAGUGUUUUCUUUCAAGAUUCAGUUUCGUUCACAGAUAUCAGAUCUUAGGAAGAAUCUGAACACCGCACAUUCUGCUUGCGUGGAGAUUCAGAACUCUGUUAUAUUAAAGGAAUUCAUGAAGAAAAUUUUACUUCUUGGGAACACAUUAAACCAAGGGACUGCUAAAGGUUCAGCCUUGGGUUUCCGCCUAGAAAGCCUUCUGAAACUUGCAGAUACUCGUGCAGUUAAUAAACUGACGUUGUUGCAUUAUUUCUGUAAGGUUCUUGCCUCAAAGUCACCACAUCUUCUUGACUUUUAUGGGGAUUUAAUUAGUCUGGAAGCUGCAUCAAAGAUAAAAUUGAAGUUCUUGGCUGAAGAAAUGCAAGCUGUUGUCAAAGGUUUAGAGAAAGUUGAGUUGGACCUGACUGCUUCCGAAAACGAUGGCCCCGUAUCAGAAGUUUUUUGUAAGACUUUGAGGGAAUUUACUGCAGUUGCUGUAGCUGAAGUACAAUCUCUGAAAUCGCUUUAUACUGCUGCGGGUAGGAGAGCUGAUGCUCUUGUUCUAUAUUUUGGUGAAGAUCCAGCCCAUUGCACUUUUGAAGAAGGAAGCGGAGUCGACAAAUCCGAGUCAGAUGUUGCAGAAAACAGUAAGCAAGUCCAAAGUUGGAGACCAGCCAGAAAAGAUGUUAGAUGAGAUCCUAUACUUGGCUAUGUUGCAGUGGCAAGUAUAUUUGCUCUGAGCAAUCAGUUUUCCCAAAUCUUCUACUUGGUUCCAUGUUAUCUGAAUCCUGCUAUUUUUGAGACGGAAUUGAUCUCUUCUUUGCUGAUGGGGCCAUCCUCUAUGUUAAUCCCUGUACAAAGUUCUAACCUUUUGCUCGUUCACUUGAAGCUAUUGUUAGAUACAGGCACGGGUAGGCUAUAGAAGCUGUAUAUAUAUAUAUGGAGAGCAAAUGAGAGUAUUAAGCUAUAAAAGUUGUAUCUAUAGAACACAUGUCCAAAAAGAAAAAAGAAAAAGAGGGAAAAUAAGAGAUGUAUUUGUGUUUAUAUUAUCAAAUGCGAUAAGCUAGCAAGCAGUCACUUACGUCCCAAUGUUUUACAUUACAUUCAUCAACAGAAGUUUAUGGUUAUGAGAAAUUGAGGAAAAGCAGGAUUAA